rnacentral:rRNA from 1 species
GAUGAACGCUAGCGGGAGGCUUAAUACAUGCAAGUCGAGGGGUAACAGGGGCUUCGGCCCGCUGACGACCGGCGCACGGGUGAGUAACGCGUACGCAACUUACCUCCAAGCGAGGGAUAGCCCUGGGAAACUGGGAUUAAUACCUCAUGUGAUUAUGAUGCCGCAUGGUGUUAUAAUUAAAGUUCAGGCGCUUGGAGAUGGGCGUGCGUCCUAUUAGCUAGUUCGGUGAGGUAACGGCUCACCAAGGCGACAAUAGGUAGGGGGCGUGAGAGCGUGGCCCCCCACACGGGUACUGAGACACGGACCCGACGUCCUACGGGAGGCAGCAGUAAGGAAGU